rnacentral:tRNA from 1 species
GCCUUAGUGGUGUAACGGUUAGCACACUCUGCGCGUAUUCGAGAGGUCCAGGUUCGAGUCCUGACGAGGGCA